GUGGGGAAUAUUGGACAAUGGGCGAAAGCCUGAUCCAGCCAUGCCGCGUGUGUGAAGAAGGUCUUCGGAUUGUAAAGCACUUUAAGUUGGGAGGAAGGGCAGUAAGUUAAUACCUUGCUGUUUUGACGUUACCGACAGAAUAAGCACCGGCUAACUUCGUGCCAGCAGCCGCAGUAAUACGAAGGGUGCAAGCGUUAAUCGGAAUUACUGGGCGUAAAGCGCGCGUAGGUGGUUUUGUAAGUUGGAGGUGAAAUCCCCGGGCUCAACCUGGGAACUGCCUCCAAAACUGCAUGACUAGAGUACGGUAGAGGGUAGUGGAAUUUCCUGUGUAGCGGUGAAAUGCGUAGAUAUAGGAAGGAACACCAGUGGCGAAGGCGACUACCUGGACUGAUACUGACACUGAGGUGCGAAAGCGUGGGGAGCAAACAGGAUUAGAAACCCUAGUAGUCC
rnacentral:rRNA from 1 species